rfam:Pseudocohnilembus persalinus scaffold2383, whole genome shotgun sequence.
GGUCUUAUAGUAUAGUGGUUAGUAUGUGCGGUUUUGAUCCGCAAGACCUCGGUUCGAACCCGGGUAAGACCU